rnacentral:rRNA from 1 species
UACAUAGGGAGCAAGCGUUAUCCGGAAUGAUUGGGCGUAAAGCGUCUGUAGGUGGUUCGAAAAGUCUACUGUCAAAUACGUUGGCUCAACCAACGGCAGGCAUUAGAGUACUAUUGAACUAGAGUAUGGUAGAGGUAGAGGGAAUCCCUAGCGUAACAGUGAAAUGUGUAGAUUUUAGGGAGAACACCAGCGGCGAAGGCGCUCUACUGGGCCAUUACUGACACUGAGAGACGAAAGCUAAGGGAGCGAAAGAG